CGGUGGAGCGUGUGGUUUAAUUCGAAGCAACGCGCAGAACCUUACCAGCCUUUGACAUGGCAGGACGAUUUUCAGAGAUGGAUCUCUUCCAGCAAUGGACCUGCACACAGGUGCUGCAUGGCUGUCGUCAGCUCGUGUCGUGAGAUGUUGGGUUAAGUCCCGCAACGAGCGCAACCUCGCCUUUAGUUGCCAUCAUUCAGUUGGGCACUCUAAAGGGACUGCCGGUGAUAAGCCGCGAGGAAGUGGGGAUGACGUCAAGUCCUCAUGGCCCUUACGGGCUGGGCUACACACGUGCUACAAUGGCGGUGACAGUGGGAUGCAAAGGGGCGACCCCUCGCAAAUCUCAAAAAGCCGUCUCAGUUCGGAUUGUACUCUGCAACUCGAGUGCAUGAAGUUGGAAUCGCUAGUAAUCGUGGAUCAGCAUGCCACGGUGAAUACGUUCCCGGGCCUU
rnacentral:rRNA from 1 species